rnacentral:rRNA from 1 species
UACGUAGGGACCGAGCGUUGUCCGGAAUCAUUGGGCGUAAAGGGUGCGUAGGCGGCGCGGUAAGUCGGGUGUGAAAUCUCGGAGCUUAACUCCGAAACUGCAUUCGAUACUGCCGUGCUUGAGGACUGGAGAGGAGACUGGAAUUUACGGUGUAGCGGUGAAAUGCGUAGAUAUCGUAAGGAAGACCAGUGGCGAAGGCGGGUCUCUGGACAGUUCCUGACGCUGAGGCACGAAGGCCAGGGGAGCAAACGGG